GUACUGAUAUAAGAUUUUAAUUGAAUGCUAAGAGAAUGGAAGUUCAGAAAAAAACUUUUUUUAAAUUAAAAAUUGAAGUUUUUUUAAUUUGUGCAGAAACAAUUAUUUAUAUUAAAGACAAGAAGACCCUAUGAAUUUAUUAAAUUUUUAUUCAAUAUGUAAUUACUAUUAGAAAAAUUUUGGCUGGGGCGGCUAGAAAAUAUUAUAAACUUUUUAAAAAUAAAAUGAUCCAUUAUUAAUGAUUUUAUGUUAAAUACUCUAGGGAUAACAGCGUUAUAUUUUUUGAUAGAUCAUAUUGACAAAAAAGUUUGCGACCUCGAUGUUGG
rnacentral:rRNA from 1 species